ACUUGGCUGAUGGUCAUCGAACGGUAGGUUGCUCCUAAAGGUGGCGCUACUUGGCUUGCGGUUUAACAUUAAUGGGUAAUGUCCCUAUGCAGGUGUGCUGGUCUAGGCAAGCUUCUCUCCCCAUUCUGUGUCGACGGUGCGUUGGCGCCGAGCUCUCGGAAACAUCUUAAACGCGGUAGCCGUUUGUUGUGGCUUCACUGCAUUUUAUCACUCCUGUAAUCUGGUUGUGCUGGAGCAGCACCUAUCCGUAGAGGAGGAUGAUGAUGUCCCCCCUACCAUUUGUAAGAAGAAGGUAAAGAAGAAGUUGCUGGUGGAACAGCCCAAAGAUGGAGAUCUUGAGAAUCUGUCCGGCGGUGGAGACGAACGCUCCUCCUGACUGCCACAGUGCAGGAGCUUAGCGUUCCUGCCGCAGUGUGGAGUGAGACAUUGACGCCUCUGUUUCAUGGGGCGUGGGAGAUUCUGUGUCGUUCUGUUCUGUUUGUUCGUUUGAUUUCAUGUGAUUUUUAUUAAUAUUAAGACCCUGUCUUUAAA